rnacentral:rRNA from 1 species
UUUUACAAUGAAGAGUUUGAUCCUGGCUCAGGAUGAACGCUAGCUACAGGCUUAACACAUGCAAGUCGAGGGGCAGCAUGAACUUAGCUUGCUAAGUUUGAUGGCGACCGGCGCACGGGUGAGUAACGCGUAUCCAACCUUCCGUUUACUCGGGGAUAGCCUUUCGAAAGAAAGAUUAAUACCCGAUGGUAUGGUAAGAUUGCAUGAUAAUACCAUUAAAGAUUUAUCGGUAAACGAUGGGGAUGCGUUCCAUUAGGUAGUAGGCGGGGUAACGGCCCACCUAGCCGACGAUGGAUAGGGGUUCUGAGAGGAAGGU